rnacentral:snRNA from 1 species
AUCGCUUCUUGGCCUUUUGGCUAAGAUCAAGUGUAGUAUCUGUGAAGUAUAUUUGGUUGCUUCUCUGGAAUAAUGUGCAUCGGAUUACUGGCUGGGGUUUUGUUUUGAAACAACUGCACUGGUUGCUAGUUCAUGUCUGGGCCCAAUUUUA